AUUAAGUAAGCAAAGAUUGUAGUUGAUUUAGAAUCAAAAGAUGGUAAUGAAAUUGUACCACUUAAUU
rnacentral:tRNA from 1 species